rnacentral:rRNA from 1 species
UACGUAGGCAGCGAGCGUUGUUCGGAGUUACUGGGCGUAAAGGGUGUGUAGGCGGUUGUUUAAGUUUGGUGUGAAAUCUCCCGGCUCAACUGGGAGGGUGCGCCGAAUACUGAAUGACUUGGAGUGCGGGAGAGGAGAGUGGAAUUCCUGGUGUAGCGGUGAAAUGCGUAGAUAUCAGGAGGAACACCGGUGGUGUAGACGGCUCUCUGGACCGUAACUGACGCUGAGACACGAAAGCGUGGUAGCAACAGG